CCUACGGGUGGCUGCAGUGGGGAAUUUUGGACAAUGGACGAAAGUCUGAUCCAGCGACGCCGCGUGGAGGACGAAGGUUUUCGGAUCGUAAACUCCUUUUACAGGGGACGAAAGCGCGCAAGCGUUUGACGGUACUCUGUGAAUAAGCCACGGCUAACUACGUGCCAGCAGCCGCGGUAAUACGUAGGUGGCGAGCGUUACGCGGAAUUACUAGGCGUAAAGCGCGUGGAGGCGGGAGCAUAAGUCUGGCUAAAGCUCAGGGCUCAACCCUGAAAUGUCGACGGAAACUGGGCUUCUUGAGUGCGGUAGGGGAGAUCGGAAUUCCAGGUGUAGCGGUGAAAUGCGUAGAUAUCUGGAAGAACGCCAAAGGCGAAGGCAGAUCUCUGGGCCGUUACUGACGCUGAGACGCGAAAGCUAGGGGAGCAAACAGGAUUAGAUACCCCAGUAGUC
rnacentral:rRNA from 1 species